AUUAGAAUACAUUUUACAUUUCUCAUUCCUAGUUCUUGGCCUCUUGGUGUUCUCAGAGCGGGAAGAGGCCUUAGAAAAAAUAUUUCGGGUAAGUACAUAAAAUUUUUAAUAGAAACUUUUAUAUAUACUCGUUUACAAUGUUAUAUUUUCUAGCUGAAGAAUCAAUAAAAAAAAUGGAAAAACUUGAAAGAUAGAUACACAAAGUUAAAAAACAAUAUAAAUAAGUCGAAAAGAAGUGGUGCAGCUACUUCAGAAAUUUACAAAACAAAUUGGAAGUAUUUCGACUUAUUAGAUAAUAUGCUAAGAGGCGGAUUGAGAAAUGAACACUUAAACACGUGCACGAAUAUACCAGAAAUCAUGCCUCAAUGAGAAUGUGAAUUAAUGAAUUCUGAUUUGGAAGACGAAUCAAUCAAUCAAUUACCAGAAUUUCUCACAAAGAAUAGGUAUUUUUAUAUUAUAUAUAAGUUGUAAAGAUUACAAACCUAAUCAAAGUGUUAUUUCACUAUGUCCUUAAAUAUAUUAUUAAUAAAUUACAUAUAUUUAAUAUUUUUAGCAUGCCUGAAUUAACAGGACCAAGCACAAGUACAAAUGUAUUGCCACUACCAUUUGUACAUAGUCCACUUCAGUCCUCUCAAAGGUUAUACACAUAUAGUUCCAUAAUUGUAAUUUUUUAAUUUUUUUAAUAUUUGAAAUAUUCUCGAAAAUGUUCGUUUUUAUUUCAUAAUUUAGGAAAAGAAAAAGAAAUGAUGAUGAUGAUGAUCUUGCAGAGAUCAUAAAAGAAACUUCUAGUGGCAUAAAAAAAAUAUAUAGAAGAAAGUGAAAGUAACCACGAUGAAGUAUUUUAUUUCGUCAACAAUACUGGUAUUGGUGUGAGACUAAAA